AGUGAACGCUGGCGGUAGGCCUAACACAUGCAAGUCGAACGGCAGCACAGUAAGAGCUUGCUCUUACGGGUGGCGAGUGGCGGACGGGUGAGGAAUACAUCGGAAUCUACUUUUUCGUGGGGGAUAACGUAGGGAAACUUACGCUAAUAUCGCAUACGACCUACGGGUGAAAGCAGGGGAUCUUCGGACCUUGCGCGAUUGAAUGAGCCGAUGUCGGAUUAGCUAGUUGGGAGGGUAAAGGCCCACCAAGGCGACGAUCCGUAGCUGGUCUGAGAGGAUGAUCAGCCACACUGGAACUGAGACACGGUCCAGACUCCUACGGGAGGCAGCAGUGGGGAAUAUUGGACAAUGGGCGCAAGCCUGAUCCAGCCAUACCGCGUGUGUGAAGAAGGCCUUCGGGUUGUAAAGCCCUUUUGUUGGGAAAGAAAAGCAGCAGGUUAAUACCCCGCUGUUCUGACGGUACCCAAAGAAUAAGCACCGGCUAACUUCGUG
rnacentral:rRNA from 1 species